rnacentral:sRNA from 1 species
AAAUCAAAUCAAAGCCGACUUGUUCUGACUUAGUUUCUGUAUGAUUUGAGAUGUGAUUUAAGAACAUAACAACUUAAAGAACGACUUAUCUUUAUUAUUAUUUAGAAACUCACUCAAAACUAAAUCUCUCUAGGUCUUUAGAACAACUCUCUAUAGCCUCUUAAUCUCUCUUGUGUCUUAUGGAACAUCUCUCCAUAAGCCCGUAUUUAUAGAUACUAGAUGAGUACCCGCACUACGUUCGGGUUUAUGUAUUAUUAUUUACAAAUUGUUUUAUAUAAUGUAUGUUCAUAUAAAGUAAAGUUGAAUGCCUCGUUUUUGAAACAUAAAUAUGAUUUGUAAUUGUUUUUCAAAAGUCCAACUAUAUUAGUUCAUCUGAAAAUUGAAUAUGCUUGAGUUGUUUUUUAUUGUUGUUCUAGAUUCUCAGUUUUUUUUUAAUUUAUAUAUCCUUCUUUUUUUGGUUAUAUGUUUAGAUUAUGAGACGGUGAAAUUUUAGAAAAUUUAUUUCUUACACUAAAAAUAUAACAUGUCUUUAUUAAUCAUAUUCAACUUGAUGUUCUUGGAAAGUUUAGUUAAGUUCUUGUCAUAAUCUUAUAUCUUACGUAUUAAUUGUAAGGAUAGCUCCUCAAACAUCUUUAAAAUUACUUGUUUUCUUAGCAUAAAUCUCGAAAAUCUUAGAUAUAUUUAAUCUGCAUAUUCAUUUAGUUUCUUUCAUAAUAAUCGUCUUAUUUUUAGGCAAGGAAUAUGUGUAGCAUGUUUGGAUUUUAUGAUCACUUUAGCCACUUAAGUGGAUCUCAAAAUUAAAGAGGAUAUAUUGAAUUAAAAAAAUGUAGAAAUGGUGAUGGUUCAAGUUCUGAUUAAUUAUAUCCUCCUAUUUUAGUUGUUAUGUUGAAUUAAUUACUAAUUAUGUAUUACUUAUUUUAUGAAGUUUAGGUGGCAAGCUCUCAUGUGCUGAUGUGUCAAAUUGUGGGAGAGAGUUAGCCAACUUGACUUUUAUUUGUAUUUCCUAUUUCUUAUUAUCUCUUCUAGAAUAUUUUGGAGAGAUUACUUGCUCCUCAAGUAAUUGGAAUUAUCCAAAACUUCAAAAAUAAAGCUUUGAAGUUUCAGAACUUCUAAAAAUAAGUUGAGUUAAAAGAAAUAAAAGAAAGAGAUAGCAUCUACUCCUUAUCUAUUUCUGAUU